rnacentral:rRNA from 1 species
GACGAACGCUGGCGGCGUGCUUAACACAUGCAAGUCGAACGGAAAGGCCCUUCUUCUGUGGGGUGCUCGAGUGGCGAACGGGUGAGUAACCCGUGAGUAACCUGCCCUUGACUUUGGGAUAACUUCAGGAAACUGGGGCUAAUACCGGAUAGGAGCUCAUGCUGCAUGGUGGGGGUUGGAAAGUUUCGGCGGUGGGGGAUGGACUCGCGGCUUAUCAGCCUGUUGGUGGGGUAGUGGCUUACCAAGUCUUUGACGGGUAGCCGGCCUGAGAGGGUGACCGGCCACAUUGGGACGGAGAUACGGCCCAGACUCCUACGGGAGGCAGCAGUGGGGAAGAUUGCACAAUGGGCGGAAGCCUGAUGCAGCAACGCCGCGUGCGGGAUGACGGCCUUCGGGUUGUAGACCGCUUUCGCCUGUGACGAAGCGUGAGUGACGGUAAUGGGUAAAGAAGCACCGGCUAACUACGUG